rnacentral:rRNA from 1 species
GUGUAUUAGGCGGGUAGCAUCACACCCUUUGUGACAUACCUAUCGUUGCUUCGGCGGACUCGCCCCAGCGUCCGGACGCGGACCUAGGCGGCCGCCGGGGACCCCCAAACCCUGUAUCUACCAGUUUUUCUGAAUCCGCCGCAAGGCAAAACAAAUGAAUCAAAACUUUCAACAACGGAUCUCUUGGCUCUGGCAUCGAUGAAGAACGCAGCGAAAUGCGAUAAGUAAUGUGAAUUGCAGAAUUCAGUGAAUCAUCGAAUCUUUGAACGCACAUUGCGCCCGCCAGCAUUCUGGCGGGCAUGCCUGUUCGAGCGUCAUUUCAACCCUCGACGUCCCCUAGGGGAUGUCGGCGUUGGGGACCGGCAGCACACCGCCGCCCCCGAAAUGAAGUGGCGGCCCGUCCGCGGCGACCUCUGCGUAGUACUCCAACUCGCACCGGGACCCCGACGCGGCCACGCCGUAAAACACCCAACUCUGAACGUUGACCUCGGAUCAGGUAGGAAUACCCGCUGAACUUAAGCAUAUCAAUAAGCGGAGGAA